GACGAACGCUGGCGGCGUGCUUAACACAUGCAAGUCGAACGGAAAGGCCCUGCUUUUGUGGGGUGCUCGAGUAGCGAACGGGUGAGUAACACGUGAGUAACCUGCCCUUGACGUUGGGAUAACUUCAGGAAACUGGGGCUAAUACCGGGUAGGAGCUCCUGCUGCAGGGUGGGGGUUGGAAAGUUUCGGCGGUUGGGGAUGGACUCGCGGCUUAUCAGCUUGUUGGGGGGGUAGUGGCUUACAAAGGCUUUGCCGGGUAGCCGGCCUGAGAGGCUGACCGGCCAAAUUGGGACUGGGAUACGGCCCAGACCCCUCCGGGAGGAAGCAGUGGGGAUUAUUGCACAAUGGGCGGAGCCCGAAUGCAGCAAGGCCGCGUGGGGGAUGAGGGCCUUGGGGUUGUAAACCGUUUUCGCAUGUGCCGAAGCGUGAGUGACGGUAAUGGGUGAAGAAGCACCGGCUAACUACGUG
rnacentral:rRNA from 1 species